AUACGGAGGGUGCAAGCGUUACUCGGAAUCACUGGGCGUAAAGCGCGCGCAGGCGGCUAUUUAAGUUGGAUGUGAGAGCCUACGGCUCAACCGUAGAACUGCAUCCAAAACUAUUUAGCUAGAGUGUGGGAGAGGAAGAUGGAAUUAGUUGUGUAGGAGUAAAAUCCGUAGAGAUAACUAGGAAUACCAAAAGCGAAGGCAAUCUUCUGGAACACUACUGACGCUGAGGCGCGAAAGCGUGGGGAGCAAACAAGAUUAGAAACCCAGUAGUCC
rnacentral:rRNA from 1 species